rnacentral:rRNA from 1 species
CGGGACACGUGGUAUCCUGUCUGAAUAUGGGGGGACCAUCCUCCAAGGCUAAAUACUCCUGACUGACCGAUAGUGAACCAGUACCGUGAGGGAAAGGCGAAAAGAACCCCGGCGAGGGGAGUGAAAAAGAACCUGAAACCGUGUACGUACAAGCAGUGGGAGCACGCUUAGGCGUGUGACUGCGUACCUUUUGUAUAAUGGGUCAGCGACUUAUAUUCUGUAGCAAGGUUAACCGAAUAGGGGAGCCGAAGGGAAACCGAGUCUUAACUGGGCGUUAAGUUGCAGGGUAUAGACCCGAAACCCGGUGAUCUAGCCAUGGGCAGGUUGAAGGUUGGGUAACACUAACUGGAGGACCGAACCGACUAAUGUUGAAAAAUUAGCGGAUGACUUGUGGCUGGGGGUGAAAGGCCAAUCAAACCGGGAGAUAGCUGGUUCUCCCCGAAAGCUAUUUAGGUAGCGCCUCGUGAAUUCAUCUCCGGGGGUAGAGCACUGUUUCGGCAAGGGGGUCAUCCCGACUUACCAACCCGAUGCAAACUGCGAAUACCGGAGAAUGUUAUCACGGGAGACACACGGCGGGUGCUAACGUCCGUCGUGAAGAGGGAAACAACCCAGACCGCCAGCUAAGGUCCCAAAGUCAUGGUUAAGUGGGAAACGAUGUGGGAAGGCCCAGACAGCCAGGAUGUUGGCUUAGAAGCAGCCAUCAUUUAAAGAAAGCGUAAUAGCUCACUGGUCGAGUCGGCCUGCGCGGAAGAUGUAACGGGGCUAAACCAUGCACCGAAGCUGCGGCAGCGACGCUUAUGCGUUGUUGGGUAGGGGAGCGUUCUGUAA